rnacentral:rRNA from 1 species
UACGUAGGGGGCAAGCGUUGUCCGGAAUCAUUGGGCGUAAAGCGCGUGUAGGCGGCUCGAUAAGUCUGCUGUGAAAGUCCAAGGCUCAACCUUGGGAUGCCGGUGGAUACUGUCGAGCUCGAGUCCGGAAGAGGAGUGUGGAAUUCCUGGUGUAGCGGUGAAAUGCGUAGAUAUCGGGAAGAACACCGGUGGCGAAGGCGGCUAUCUGGCCCGUAAUUGACGCUGAGGCGCGAAAGCGUGGGGAGCAAACAGG